GCAUAGAUAUCCAAAUGGUUUAAGGAAUCAUACUGCAAAUACGAGAAUUGUGAGUUCAAAUCUCACUCUAUGCUCCA
rnacentral:tRNA from 1 species